UUGUUUUGAGACACAGUUUCACUUUUGUUGCCCGGGCUGGGGUGCAAUGGCAUGACCUCAGCUUACCGCAAGCUCCGCCUCCCGGGUUCAAGCAAUUCUCCUGCCUCAGCCUCCCCAGUAGCUGGGACUACCUGCAUGCGCCAUCACGCCUGGAUAAUUUUGUAUUUUUAGUAGAGAUGGCGUUUCCCCAGGUUGGUCAGGCUGGUCUUGAACUCCUGACUUCAGGUGAUCCGCCCGCAUCGGCCCCCUAAAGUGCUGGGAUUACAUGUGUGAGCCACUGCGCCUGGCCAUGUUGGGCACUUUUAUAAGCACUUUACAUUAUCUAAUGCAACCAAAAACUGAGGUUUGCCCUAUUAAUAAAUGAGAAAACUGAGGCACUCAUCUGUUAAGUGCCUUGCUCAGGUCCCAUGUCCUUGGAACCAGGAGUCCUUCUGUUGAUGUUGGAAGGUUCAAAAGUGCUAUUACUUGUCACCCAGAUGGCAAAGAAAUGACAUACAAAGGCCCAAGUCUUCCAGAACUGAAAACGGUAAUAAAACCUUCAUUUAUCUG
rnacentral:lncRNA from 1 species